GACGAACGCUGGCGGCGUGCUUAACACAUGCAAGUCGAACGGAAAGGCCCUGCUUUUGUUGGGUGCUCGAGUGGCGAACGGGUGAGUAACACGUGAGUAACCUGCCCUUGACUUUGGGAUAACGUCAGGAAACUGGGGCUAAUACCGGAUAUGAGCUCCUGCUGCAUGGUGGGGGUUGGAAAGUUUCGGCGGUUGGCGAUGGACUCGCGGCUUAUCAGCCUGUUGGUGGGGUAGUGGCUUACCAAGGCUUUGACGGGGAGCCGGCCUGAGAGGGUGACCGGCCACAUUGGGACUGAGAUACGGCCCAGACUCCUACGGGAGGCAGCAGUGGGGAAUAGUGCACAAUGGGUGGAAGCCUGAUGCAGCAACGCCGCGUGCGGGAUGACGGCCUUCGGGUUGUAGACCGCUUUCGCCUGUGAUGAAGCGUGAGUGACGGUAAUGGGUAAAGAAGCACCGGCUAACUACGUG
rnacentral:rRNA from 1 species